ensembl:lncRNA
UCAUUGGAAUAAAAAAUGACCUUCAGUGACCAAUCAGGCUAAUGAAAGAAAAGUUUUUCCCAAAGGGCACACCACUACCCAAAUCUCCCUCCAGAGGCAGUCAGGCUGGAUUCAGGAGCUGGCACAGAUAGAAGAAACUCAGGAGAUUCUGGAAAUCUUGAGAGAAAGGAAAACCAUGAACAUAAACAGACCUGCUAAGACCAAGAGAGAAGGCAGAAGAAACUCAGUUCAUAUAGUGCAGUUUCUUAUAUUUCCUUAGCUGAUUUCAUGCUCUGCAUUAUGCUCAGUAGGGAUAAACAUAAAAAUUCCAAACUGAUGUCAAAGAACACAGGGAUAUUUUGUGAAAAAUGGUAGCAGCAAAGAGCCUCUUUUCCACUGAAAUGUAUUGAAAAUGUGCAGUGUGUCAGACUAUUUUCUCUCUUAGUCUAAAUUGCUCAAUAUUUUUCUCUUUCUUUCUUUUGUCUCAUUUUGCAAAAGAAAUCAAACAAAGAAGUUGGCUUGGCUUUUCCUAUUGCUCCAUUUUCUGGUCUUCUGUAAAAAAAUCACUGUCUUUCUACUUCCAAAGCCUCCCUGAUGGAUAGUUCAAGAAAAGGUCCGGAAGCAGACUAAACAAAGUUGCUCUGAUGAUUGAUGACACAGAAGCCAGAAAGCUCCGAAACAACUUGCUGCUAGCAAAAAUACAGAAAGGUUUUACUGACUUCAUUAAUACAGAUUAGCCUUUUUUUUCUAAAACCCACAGAAAGCCUGCAAACAGAGACUCAGCCCCUCAGGGCAGGGUGUUAGAAAAAAGAGAGUCCUGGGCACUCUGUUUUCUCACGUACACAGGUCAGAUGCACUGUGAGUAAAUUUAAAUCUCACACAGCCAAUGUCAUGGAUUUUACAGUUAUCACAACAGUGUGAAAGACACCUGCUCCAAGAAUGAUACUCUGCCCCAAAACCAGGCAGUGACAAGACUUCAGAUCUCCUCCAGCUGGAACUGUCCAGAGUGACUUUUCAUACCAUUUACCCACAUCUUUUCUGAGUCUCAUGUAGCAUCUAACAUGCCUUGUGAAUCAUUAUUGCCUUUUAAUUUUGGCCUUUUUUAGUUCAAAGUGCCUGCAAUAAUGCCAUUAAUCAUUACUCCUAUUCAUCUUUAAAUUAGUUUUCAGUUAUUGCAGGGAAUUGAUAUAAAUUAAUCUAACUGAAAGGCUUGGGUCAAACAUCAUGGCUUCAACAGUAUCAUGGUAAUUUCUGCUUACUCUGCAUUGUGCCUUUUUCAGCUGCUGUCAGUGCACACUGACACCUGACAACCUGAGCUCCAGGAGAGAAGUGCUCCUCUGAGAGGUCUUGUUAAAGGGAUCUUAGGUGUCCAGCUCUUCCAAAAAUAUCUUCUGCACAGCUGCACAAGAAGCUCUAGUGAACCAUAAUAUUACAGUAAAGAACUCAAUACCUCACAUCCCAAAUGUAUGGCACUGGUAGGUAAGAGGUGUCUUGCCAAAGCAAAAGAAAAGGAAGGCUCCUUUAAUUGAGCACUGAGAAACCUGGAAUAUCACACACCAGCAUUUCCAGGAUUAUUACCCACUUCAUCCUUCCCCAUGAAGCCAGCACAUACACAGAGAGGUCAUCAUCAUGGCUUCUUAACUCUCUGUAUUCAAUAAAUUUGUCUCUCAUCACUUCUUUCUACUAGAG